CAGUCGCCGCGGGAACACGGAGGGUGCAAGCGUUAAUCGGAAUUACUGGGCGUAAAGCGUGCGUAGGCGGUUCGUUAAGUCUGUUGUGAAAGCCCCGGGCUCAACCUGGGAAUGGCAAUGGAUACUGGCGAGCUAGAGUGUGUCAGAGGAUGGUGGAAUUCCCGGUGUAGCGGUGAAAUGCGUAGAGAUCGGGAGGAACAUCAGUGGUGAAGGCGGCCAUCUGGGACAACACUGACGCUGAGGCACGAAAGCGUGGGGAGCAAACAGGAUUAGAUACCCCCGUAGUCCCUGUCUCUUAUAC
rnacentral:rRNA from 1 species